AUGUCUAGGGCUACACACGUACUACAAUGGCCGGUACAAAGGGCAGCCACUCAGCGAUGAGGCGCUAAUCCCAUAAAGCCGGUCUCAGUCCGGAUCGCAGUCUGCAACUCGACUGCGUGAAGUUGGAAUCGCUAGUAAUCGUAGAUCAGCAUGCUACGGUGAAUACGUUCCCGGGCCUU
rnacentral:rRNA from 1 species